CCUCCCCAUCCGGCCCCGCCCUCCGCCGGCCUGGUGUAGGUCAGCCAGCCGGUUCCCCGCGCCGCGCCAGCCAUGGUGAACCUGGGCCUGUCCCGGGUGGACGACGCCGUGGCCAGCAAGCACCCGGGACUAGGUGAAUACGCCGCGUGCCAGUCGAACGCUUUCGUGAAGGGCGUUUCCACCUUUGUCACAGGUACCGGUGCGACCUUCGGCCUGCAGAUGCUGGUCCAGAGGAGGCUUCCAUUCCCCUUUCAGUGGAAGGUGCUGGUGGCUGUGGUCGCAGGCUCAGUGGCCAGCUACUGGGUGACCCGCGUAGAGUCGCAGAAAUGCAGUGACCUCUGGCUCUUCCUGGAGACAGGGCGGCUCCCCAGAGACAUGCACACAGAUCGGCGUAGCUAGGAGCGCUCCAGCCGGGGCACCGGAGACCUGGGGCCAGACAGUUCUAGAACACAGCCCUCGGCACCUCUGUACCCUGGGUUGGCCCUCCCCACACCCGUGGCCCCCGCACACAGGCAUGACCAGAGGAAGGCUCCUGAGUGGGCAGGAUUUCCAGCUCAGCCACGGCCCACAGAGGGAGAGGGAGCGGAAGAGAUGACCCAAAACCUGGGCAGAGCCGUCCUUUCCAGCAGGCUCCUCCGGAACACUGAAGGUGCACCUCCCAGGGCCUCAAUGCUCCAGGCCCAGCCCCGCCCUGCUGGCCUGGCCCAUCACUCAAAAGAACAUCUAUUGCACACUUACGUGUACCAAGGAAUCUGUGUGUAGGAAAGCAAAAUGGUAUCCAUGGUAUAAGUCA